UACAGAGGUCUCAAGCGUUGUUCGGAUUCAUUGGGCGUAAAGGGUGCGUAGGCGGCGCGGUAAGUCGGGUGUGAAAUCUCGGGGCUUAACUCCGAAACUGCAUUCGAUACUGCCGUGCUUGAGGACUGGAGAGGAGACUGGAAUUUACGGUGUAGCGGUGAAAUGCGUAGAUAUCGUAAGGAAGACCAGUGGCGAAGGCAAUCCCCUGGACCUGUACUGACGCUCAUGCACGAAAGCGUGGGGAGCAAACAGG
rnacentral:rRNA from 1 species